rnacentral:rRNA from 1 species
UCUGCUCAAUGAUUUUUUAAAUUGCUGUGGUAUUUUGACUAUACAAAGGUAUUGUAAUAAGAUUUUAAUUGAAUGCUAAGAGAAUGGAAUUUCAGGGAAAAACUGUUUUAAACUUAAAAAUUAAAUUUAUUUUAAUUUGUGAAGAAACAAUUAUUUAAAUUAAGGACAAGAAGACCCUAAGAAUUUUAAAGAUAAUAAUUUUAAUAUUAAAAUUAUUAUCUUUUGGUUGGGGCAACUAAAAAAGAUUAUAAACUUUUUAUUUAAUAAAAUGAUCCAUUAUUAAUGAUAAUUUGAUAAAAAUACUCUAGGGAUAACAGCGUAAUAAUUUUUGAUAGAACAUAUAGACAAAAUAGUUUGCGACCUCGAUGUUGGAUUAGGAUACUUUUUUAAUGAAGAUGUUAAAAAAAGAAGUUUGUUCAACUUUUAAAGUCCUACUUGAUCUGAGUUCAGACCGG